AAGGAUCAUUGUCGAAACCUGCACAGCAGAACCGGCGCGGCAAGCGCCAAGGAAAACAAAAAUAGAAUCGUUGCCCCUUUGGCUCCCGUCCGCGGUGUGGCCAUGGGGAUGCAGCGUAUCUUGAAAGUCUAAACGACUCUCGGCCACGGAUAUCUCGGCUCUCGCAUCGAUGAAGAACGUAGCGAAAUGCGAUACUUGGUGUGAAUUGCAGAAUCCCGUGAACCAUCGAGUCUUUGAACGCAAGUUGCGCCCGACGCCUUCGGGCUGAGGGCACGCCUGCCUGGGCGUCACGCAUCGCGUCGUCCCCUCCCAUUCCCUCACGGGUUUGGUUAUGGGACGGAUAAUGGCUUCCCGUUAGCUCGGUUAGCCCAAAAAGGAUCUCUCAUCGACGGAUGUCACAACCAGUGGUGGUUGAAAGAUCAUUGGUGCUGUUGUGCUUCACCCUGUCGCUUGCUAGGGCAUCGUCAUAAACUAACGGCGUGUAAUGCGCCUUCGACCGCGACCCCAGGUCAGACGGGACUACCCGCUGAG
rnacentral:rRNA from 1 species